rnacentral:misc_RNA from 1 species
GUAUUUUGAAUUAAGUAUUCAUAAUAGUUUUUCAGACAAAGUGGUUCAAGGUUAUAGGUUGGUGUAGGUGUUUCUCCGAAAAGAAACACAACAUUGCACACAAGGUGGAUAUGGAUUUUUAAAAAGUGCCAUAAAACACUUUAUUAUGAAUGAUCCUUCCGCAGGUUCACCUACGGAAA